GAUGAAAACGCAGAGGGUUUGCUAUAUUUUGACGACUUUACCAGUUUGCAAUAUCGUACAAAAUUAUAUUAUUUCUACUUUAGACUUAUAUACGAUUCUGGAACUAAUGGCAUAUGGUUUCAACAAGUAUCGGGCAAUGCUGAUGGUUUUAAUCCUCGUAUUCAAAGAAUCGUGGUACAUCGUCGAGAAGCAAAGAAGGAAACUAUAACGGAAUCAUAUACAACCACGAAAGAUGGCACCCCCUUGGAAGAUAUAGACCUUGUGCAACAACAUCAGCUACUACGAGGAGAGGGUAGUGUUGUCAUUUAUCUGUAGAAACUUUUAGUUAAAAAUAAAAAUAAAGGUUUCGAA